rnacentral:rRNA from 1 species
UACGUAGGUGGCAAGCGUUGUCCGGAUUUAUUGGGUUUAAAGGGUGCGUAGGCGGCUUAUUAAGUCAGUGGUGAAAUACUCUAGCUCAACUAGAGGGGUGCCAUUGAUACUGAUGAGCUUGAGUACAGAUGAGGUAGGCGGAAUUGACGGUGUAGCGGUGAAAUGCUUAGAUAUCGUCAAGAACACCUAUAGCGAAGGCAGCUUACUAGGCUGUAACUGACGCUGAGACGCGAAAGCGUGGGGAGCAAACAGG